GCUGCCUCCAGGUAUCCAGCUCUCAUGCCAUGAUGCCGAGUUGAAGGUAAUUUUGUAAGAGGUAUAAGAAAAAGUGCGCACACUGUGCUUGUUAUAAUAAUCUAGGAAACUAUAAAAUCCUGACUUCUGCUUUUACAACUGACCACAAUAGCCGUGUUGUCAUGUCACCUGCACUGAAAUACUCCUGUUGUCAAAGAUUAAAAAAACUGCAAUAUCGAAGAAUUUUUUCCUUCCUUCUGCUGAGUGUUUCUCUCCAGUGAAGAAUGUGGAAAACAUCUAAAAUUUUUUUAUGCAAGAAAUAGAUAUUCCACCAGAAGAACUCCAUUGGAACACAAGAAACCUCCUACAAAAAUUUGCAGUAAAACUUUUAACAGUUGUCCCAGCAGCAAUUCAGGAUGCACAGGAUAUCAGGAUGCACAAGACUAGAUGGCCCAUGUUAAAGGGGGAGGAAGAAAAGAGAGGGUUCUCCCUCCUUGGCAGAGCUGCUCAAGGACCGCAGACUUGGCAGUGGUAAUGCAGAGCUGUCGUCCCUGCAGGUCUCCAGGGACCUUCCCUGGCACUUUGCCCAGCUCUGGGCACCAGGUGCUCUGGUGGGGAGAAGAGCUCUUCCAAGGAAAUUUUGGGUGUAUUGUGCAGUCCCGUAGAGUGCAAUACAGUGAUACUUGACCACACUGGGAGACAGAGAUAACUCAUCCUCCUCUAACCAGCCCUAAAUUAGUCAGGCACAGCAUUGCACCUGCAGAAACAUCAUUGCUUCCAGGGCUAGAGUGAGAGCCCCUGCACUAUGUGGAGUAUCUAAAUAGGUAGACACUGCUGCCUUGUGCCGCAGAGAUUCUCUGACUUUGCACAAAUUGGACACGCUUGAGACUCAAAGUAAAAGCACAGCAAGAUUCUGCCUUUAUAACAACAGUGUUUAUGGGGUUCAGAUUCUCAAGUUUCACAGAGAUUUUGGGCAUUUUGAAAAUUUUCUUAAAAAUAUCCCAAGUGUCUGCAUGGAAUAAGUUUCCAAAAUACAACAAGCUAGAAGAAAUUUGAAAAUCUUCCUCAGCUGCUGUUGUGCUUCCUUAUGAGAAAGCCCAAAUCCCAAAGGAGAAGCGGUACAUGGUGUCUCAUAGUAUACGUUGCAUAGUCUAUGUGUAUAGCUACCUCUGACCGAAAAAUGGGUUUUUAAAAUCACUGGAUAUCAGGAAAUAAACAGUUCAGAGAUGUUCAAUCUUCA